UUAAAAGAUGAAGAAGAUGCACAAACAAAGUAAGCAAGAUAUAUAUAUAUAUAGUGUGCUUCGUCAUAGUCACCCCCCCCCCUUCUUUUCUUUUCUUUUUUUUUGUUUCUUUCUUCAUAAUUUAUUU
rnacentral:ribozyme from 13 species